rnacentral:rRNA from 1 species
UGGGGAAUUUUGGACAAUGGGGGAAACCCUGAUCCAGCCAUCCCGCGUGUGCGAUGAAGGCCUUCGGGUUGUAAAGCACUUUUGGCAGGAAAGAAACGUCGCGGGUUAAUACCCCGCGAAACUGACGGUACCUGCAGAAUAAGCACCGGCUAACUACGUGCCAGCAGCCGCGGUAAUACGUAGGGUGCAAGCGUUAAUCGGAAUUACUGGGCGUAAAGCGUGCGCAGGCGGUUCGGAAAGAAAGAUGUGAAAUCCCAGAGCUUAACUUUGGAACUGCAUUUUUAACUACCGGGCUAGAGUGUGUCAGAGGGAGGUGGAAUUCCGCGUGUAGCAGUGAAAUGCGUAGAUAUGCGGAGGAACACCGAUGGCGAAGGCAGCCUCCUGGGAUAACACUGACGCUCAUGCACGAAAGCGUGGGGAGCAAACAGGAUUAGAUACCCUGGUAGUCCACGCCCUAAACGAUGUCAACUAGCUGUUGGGGGCCUUCGGGCCUUGGUAGCGCAGCUAACGCGUGAAGUUGACCGCCUGGGGAGUACGGUCGCAAGAUUAAACUUAAAGGAAUUGACGGGGGUGCAUAGCU